rnacentral:rRNA from 1 species
CAGCAGCCACGGUAAUACAGAGGGUGCGAGCGUUAAUCGGAUUUACUGGGCGUAAAGCGUGCGUAGGCGGCUUCUUAAGUCGGAUGUGAAAUCCCUGAGCUUAACUUAGGAAUUGCAUUCGAUACUGGGAAGCUAGAGUAUGGGAGAGGAUGGUAGAAUUCCAGGUGUAGCGGUGAAAUGCGUAGAGAUCUGGAGGAAUACCGAUGGCGAAGGCAGCCAUCUGGCCUAAUACUGACGCUGAGGUACAAAAGCAUGGGGAGCAAACAGGAUUAGAUACCCCAGUAGUCCCUGUCUCUUAUAC